rnacentral:rRNA from 1 species
AACGUAGGAGGCAAGCGUUAUCCGGAGUUACUGGGCGUAAAGCGCAUGUAGGCGGUUGGGCAAGUUGAGUGUGAAAGCUCCCGGCUAAACUGGGAGAGGACAUUUAAGACUGCCCGGCUAGAGGUCGGUAGAGGGGCGUAGAAUUCGGGGUGUAGCGGUGAAAUGUGUAGAGAUCCCGAGGAAUACCAGUGGUGAAGACGGCGCCCUGGGCCGAACCUGACGCUGAGAUGCGAAAGCGUGGGAGCGAACGGG